AGUGAACGCUGGCGGUAGGCCUAACACAUGCAAGUCGAACGGCAGCACAGUAAGAGCUUGCUCUUACGGGUGGCGAGUGGCGGACGGGUGAGGAAUACAUCGGAAUCUACUUUUUCGUGGGGGAUAACGUAGGGAAACUUACGCUAAUACCGCAUACGACCUACGGGUGAAAGCAGGGGAUCUUCGGACCUUGCGCGAUUGAAUGAGCCGAUGUCGGAUUAGCUAGUUGGCGGGGUAAAGGCCCACCAAGGCGACGAUCCGUAGCUGGUCUGAGAGGAUGGUCAGCCACACUGGAACUGAGACACGGUCCAGACUCCUACGGGAGGAAGCAGUGGGGAAUAUUGGACAAUGGGCGCAAGCCUGAUCCAGCAAUACCGCGUGGGUGAAGAAGGCCUUCGGGUUGUAAAGCCCUUUUGUUGGGAAAGAAAAGCAGCAGGUUAAUACCCCGCUGUUCUGACGGUACCCAAAGAAUAAGCACCGGCUAACUUCGUG
rnacentral:rRNA from 1 species